CAGCCAGCCAGCAGUUUACCAAACAUCUUCAAUAGCCAGUCAAAAGAUUGUCAAAACAACUCUAACAAAUAGACCAGCCAUCAUACUUAGAAAAAGUACCUCAAUUUCUACAAGCUAUAUUUUUUUUUUAAAAAAAAAGAAAAAACAUGGAAGCCAAAUCGUUAAUUCACGAGCAAAUCAUUCAAAUAUUGGAACAGCAAAAAGAAAAUGAUCAUGCUCAAGAUGUUGACGAAAAAAUGUUCUAUUCCAAUAUUAAAAAUAUUAAAAUAAAAAUUCAAAAAGCGGUGCUGAAAGAAACCAGAAAAAGACUUAUUGAAGAAAAACAGAAUUUAAUAAACGAAUUUAAACAUUUAACAUAUAUAAAUUAUUUAUGCGAGAAAAAUAUUCAAAAAGGUCUAAAUAAUUUAUAUAGUAAAUUAGAUAAUGUCGAAUAAUAUUCUGUUUUUCAAUAAAUAAUUAAAAUAUUAUUUUUUUUUUUUGUUA